AGCCCAACAGCUAGCCCAACAAAACCAAUAACAACAAGUCACUAUAAAUAACCCCAGAAACACAAACGUUUACGUUAAACAAACCAUUUUUCCCCCUUAGUAUGGGCGACAGAAAAGGGAUCCCGGAGCAAUAGAGAAAGUACCGCAAGGGACUGCUGAAAGAGAAGUGAAAUAACCCAGUAAAGCCGAAAGAAGCAGAGCUAUACACUCGUACCUUUUGCAUCAUGAUUUAGCCAGUGUUAUCCAAGCAAAGUGUGCUUUAGUUUGAUAACCCGAAACUAAGUGAGCUACUCCAAGACAGCCUAUUAGUAGGGCAAACCCGUCUCUGUGGCAAAAGAGUGGGAAGAGCUUUGAGUAGAGGUGACAGACCUACCGAACUUAGUUAUAGCUGGUUGCCCGGGAAUUGGAUAGAAGUUCAGCCUCCCGGCUUUUCUCUUCACUUGGACUCACCCCUUACUGNUNCCACAAGAAACCGUGAGAGUUAUUCAAAGGGGGUACAGCCCCUUUGAAAUAAGACACAACUUUCCCGGGNGG
rnacentral:rRNA from 1 species